CCAGUGCAGCCGGCGUAGAGUCUCCCGGGCCCCUCAGAGAAUGUGGGCGCGGUCGAGGCGCCGCCGGUCUCACCCCACCCGUGAACACUGAACCUCAUGUUGCCUUGGCGGGCCCGCCGCGCUCCGGCCGGCCGCCGGGGGACGGAUGCGCGCACGCGUAUCCUCCCCGGGCCCGUGUCCGCCAGUGGAAAUUUAUCUGAACUUUUGAAGAAGUGGCCGUCUGAGUGAUUUAUCAAAUCGUUA
rnacentral:misc_RNA from 1 species